rnacentral:lncRNA from 1 species
GGAUCAUAAAACUGAAUCAAAGUAGAAAGAAGUCCAUAUGCCAAGUAGAUCUUCAAAAGAGAGAGAAAAUGUCCAUAUCUUUUGCUGAAAGCCUCUGUGUCAACAACCAAGGAUCCCAAUCUCCUUAGAUCUUCUAACUUAGGACUCUUGAAAGUGUACUUUUGAGUAUUUUUCCUUCCAAAAUCCAUGAUAAACCUAAUGUUUGCAACAAAAGUUCCUAAGUUCCUUGAA